rnacentral:rRNA from 1 species
UCGGAUUGUAGUCUGCAACCCGACUACAUGAAGCUGGAAUCGCUAGUAAUCGCGGAUCAGAAUGCCGCGGUGAAUACGUUCCCGGGUCUUGUACACACCGCCCGUCACACCAUGGGAGUCGGAAAUGCCCGAAGUCUGUGACCCAACCUGAGAGGGAGGGAGCAGCCGAAGGCAGGUCUGAUGACUGGGGUGAAGUCGUAACAAGGUAGC